ensembl:lncRNA
GAAAAAAUUCCAUCCAGCCCCGGGGAGGAGGGAGCGGGGCGGGGAGGCCGGGCCGGGGAGCGUGACGCAGGGAGGAGGGAAGGGACAAAAGGGGCCGGGAGGCGGUAGGGUGAGCCGGCAGCGCUCCCGCUCCUCCCUCCCUCCUCCCUCGGCCGGGGCCAGUUCUCUACUCUCCGCUUUCUUUCGUACCCUCCACCUCUCCUCCCUUUCCUUCACUCUGCCGGCCUCCUCCUGGCCCUGUGCUCCCCCCACCCCACCCCCCGCCCCCGUGUCUCCGUCUCCGCGUCUCUCUUUCUCCUUACAUCACGCCCACCCCCUCCACCCCAAUCAGGGUCUUCUCCUCUCCUCGCUCUGUCUCCCCCUUUCUGCUCUCCCAGCCUCCUUCCCCUCCCUCCGCUUCGGUCCCUCCACCCGCCCACCCACUGGGGGACAGAAAGGUGAAUCAGACCCAGAUCUGCCCUUGCAGACCGAGCUCACAGUCUGAUGGAGGAGACAGACCCAGACGCAGACAGUUCCAAUCCUGGGCGAUCGGGCCAGCACUCUCAGAGGAGGAUGAGAUGGUUGGAUGGCAUCACCGACUCAAUGGACAUAGUUUGAGUAAGCUACGGGAGUUGGUGGUGGACAGGGAAGCCUGGCGUGUUGCAGUCCAUGGGGUCGCAAAGAGUUGGACACAACUGAGCGACUGAACUGAGCAUUCUCAAAACAAUGUUUCCACCGAAAAACUGAACAAUACUUCUCUGUUUGGGAAUUCCAUCAUUGUCCAUACAGCAUGACACACAGAAGCUUACUCCCUGACCAGAGAUUGAACCCGAGCCCCCCAGCACGGAAGCUCAGAGUUCUAACCACUGGACCACCAGUAAAUUCCCUUGUCACUAAGUCCGGUCUGACUCUUUGCAACCCCAUGGAUGGUAGCCCACCAGGCCUCCUCUGUCCGUGGGAUUUCCAGGCAAGAAUGCCUUGCCCAGGCAAGAAUGCUGGAGUGGGCUGCAUCAUUGCUUAUAUCUAAAAAGGAAGACACAGUGAGAGACUGGCUGUCUGCAAGCCAGGAAACACCGCCUCACCAGGGAACUGAAUCAACCAGCCCCUUGCUCUUGGACUUUUCAGCCUCCAGGACUCAGGUUUUGGUCACUUUUAUUGUAUAUUAAUGGGCAUCAGAGAAGGACUUGCUAAAAAACACGAACAUAUGUCAGCAAGUUUCCCAGAAGUCCGUG